GACGAACGCUGGCGGCGUGCUUAACACAUGCAAGUCGAGCGGAAAGGCCCUGCUUGCAGGGUACUCGAGUGGCGAACGGGUGAGUAACACGUGGGUGAUCUGCCCUGCACUUCGGGAUAAGCCUGGGAAACUGGGUCUAAUACCGGAUAGGAGCCAUUUUUAGUGUGAUGGUUGGAAAGUUUUUUCGGUGUAGGAUGAGCUCGCGGCCUAUCAGCUUGUUGGUGGGGUAAUGGCCUACCAAGGCGGCGACGGGUAGCCGGCCUGAGAGGGUGGACGGCCACAUUGGGACUGAGAUACGGCCCAGACUCCUACGGGAGGCAGCAGUGGGGAAUAUUGCACAAUGGGCGCAAGCCUGAUGCAGCGACGCCGCGUGGGGGAUGACGGCCUUCGGGUUGUAAACUCCUUUCGCUAGGGACGAAGCUUUUUGUGACGGUACCUAGAUAAGAAGCACCGGCUAACUUCGUG
rnacentral:rRNA from 1 species